rnacentral:rRNA from 1 species
ACUUAAAUUGAAGAGUUUGAUCAUGGCUCAGAUUGAACGCUGGCGGCAGGCCUAACACAUGCAAGUCGAACGGUAGCACAGAGGAGCUUGCUCCUUGGGUGACGAGUGGCGGACGGGUGAGUAAUGUCUGGGAAAC